rnacentral:misc_RNA from 1 species
AAGCUCUUGAAUUCACCAAAACUCACCUAAUAAUGGCAACCCAAUUUGGUUCUCCUCUUGCUGACCAAGUUAGCCAUGCUUUAAGGUGGCCUAUACGCAGAGGAUUACCAAGGAAAGAGUCAAGGGAUUAUUUCUCUAUUUACCAGCAAGACGAGGCACAUAUUAAACCUUUACUGAAGCUGGCAAAGUUGGAUUACAAUAUAGUGCAGAUGUUGCACCAAAAAGACAUGAACAUGAUCACAAAGUGGUGGAUAGAUUUGGACUUCACAACCAAACUACCUUUCGCUCGAGACAGAGUGAUCGAAUGCUCUUUCUGGGCAUUAGGAACGUUUUCUGAGCCACAAUAUGUUUUUGCGAGAGAAGUAUUGUCUAAAGCUGUUGCUAUGCUGUCUGUUAUGGAUGAUAUAUAUGAUGUGCAUGGUACGAUUGAAGAACUAGAGCUAUUCACCAAAGUGGUUGAGAGUUGGGAUAUUAGCAUCAAAGAUCAACUUCCGGAUUACAUG